rnacentral:rRNA from 1 species
AGAGUUUGAUCCUGGCUCAGGACGAACGCUGGCGGCGUGCCUAAUGCAUGCAAGUCGUACGCUUCACCUUCGGGUGCGGCGUGGCGCACGGCUGAGGAACACGUGGGCACCUGCCCUUCGGUGGGGCAUAACCCCGCGAAAGCGGGGCUAAUCCCGCAUACGCUUGCCCUCGCGGGCAAGGAAAGCAGCAAUGCGCCGAGGGAGGGGCCUGCGGCCCAUCAGGUUGUCGGUGGGGUAACGGCCUACCGAGCCGAUGACGGGUAGCUGGUCUGUGAGGACAACCAGCCAGACUGGGACUGAGAAACGGCCCAGACUCCUACGGGAGGCAGCAGCAAGGAAUUUUCCCCAAUGGGCGAAAGCCUGAGGGAGCAACGCCGCGUGCAGGACGACGGCCUUCGGGUUGUAAACUGCUUUUGGGAGGGACGAUUGUGACGGUACCUCCUGAAUAAGCCCCGGCUAACUCUGUGCCAGCAGCCGCGGUAAUAC